AGCUGGAGCUGAGGUAACAUCCCAGACAGCUGACAGAACAUGCCUGAUUCCCACUGCUCAAAUGAUGUGAAGCAUCUCACCCGAGGCAUAUGUAAAGCCCUUAUGGUUGAAUGGAAGGUUUUAGGUGGGCGGUUGGGAUCCGGUAAAAAACUUGAACACAGCUGAAAUAAAGGAAACAUGUUUGAUUAUCUUGGGACAGUGCAUCUCAAUGAAAGUAAAGACACAGGAUGCAUCUGAAAUGCGUCAAUUAAGCAUCUAUGCUUUUUAAAAGCAUCCUAUAAUUUAAAAAAAUGAAGCUUACAUGAAGAUGAAGAUGAUUGGAGAACGAUCACGCCAGAGAGGAGCUCAAAAAUGGAAAAUACAGAGCUUUCUUAUAUAUUCUUUUCAGUAUGCUAGAAAUAAGCAAUACACCAUGGAAAACAUACUGUACUAUUUAAAUUAUUCAACAUAAUUUUGAACUGCAGUUUAUGCCAGAUGUGCAAUAAAUAAUUAUAUUACAGUAUAUGAUACUACGUGCAUACAUAUUUAUUUAUUAGUGCUACGAUUGACCUAAUCUCUAUAAAUUGUUCAAAAGUUAGAAAUCGCCCCCAACCAGUUUGCUAUUCAGUACCUUGCCAUGACAUUAUAGCCAAAAGGGAUUCCGAAUGUGGAAAUCAGUUAGCGUUACCCGUCUGAUUUACAUUUAAAAUCAAUUACAUUUAUAACAGAUGUUUUCUGGCUGAAUGUUUAUUACUGAACUUGGAUACAAUCUACAUAAUACACACAAUCUCAAUUUAAACUCUGAUUUCUGAUUGGGUAGUGUUCUGUAGAUAAGCAAACACAUAUUGUAUGUAUGAUGGAUUGAGCAGUGUGAUUAUGUUAAUGAUACUUUUCAGGGAUCAGGACACAUUCCAUGACAUAUUUACUGCUAUGGCUCUGUCAAACAACGCAGCAGUAUAGGUGGUUAAAACCAAGCCCUUGCUUCAAACAAAGCCAGGUCCCAAUGCAUUAUGUAACCAUAAAUUAACAGUCUAUAUGAGUUUUUUAUUUUAUGCAGCUGUUGUUUCUUUCUCAAGUUACAAAAAAGAAUCGGUGUACAAAGAGGCAUGACGUGGAGAGUAGAUGAGUCCCAUCAAAGCUUGUGCUAUGUUUUCAGGUCGAGGACUCAAUAGUGUGAUGGCGGCUUCCUUGGGGGCGAAAAAUAACAGUGAAGAGGAUUCACACAAGAAAUAGCUCAAAAGUGAACUUGGGAAGAUUGAGAAUUCCAUCCAUCCUCAUCCAGAAUGUUAAUGACAGGGAACUGGCCUGUCACUUCAUUUAUAAAUGGCAACAAUCAUGAGCAAGCAUCACAGAGGACCGUGCUGUGUUUUCAAAAAAAGCUACGUAUACCCAACUCUAGCCCUUGAGAAAGUCAUGUGAUCUGUGACGCAACACGUCGGGAAACGCCUGGUGACGUUCUACUUCCGAUUGUGGCCGAGAUCAGUAGUCCCUGUGUUUAUCUUUGCUGAAUACUGUGAUUUCUAGAUGAUAUUGAAGAUUGUGGAUCCUUUUUCACUAUUUCACAUGCACUGUUGUUCACUUUUAGACUAUUUAUGCAUUUGUUGUUUAUUGAUUUUGUUACUUGAUAUUUUUGCACUAUACACUUUUUUGUACCUACUGAGU